UAAUGCCGGAUGCUCCGACAUGACGCAUGUCGUGUCGGGAAAGAUUCAUCGGUAUGGGAUGGGGUCGCGUCCUAUCAGGUAGUCGGCGGGGUAACGGCCCACCGAGCCUACGACGGGUAGCCGGCCUGAGAGGGCGACCGGCCACAUUGGGACUGAGAUACGGCCCAGACUCCUACGGGAGGCAGCAGUGGGGAAUAUUGCACAAUGGGCGCAAGCCUGAUGCAGCGACGCCGCGUGCGGGAUGACGGCCUUCGGGUUGUAAACCGCUUUUGACUGGGAGCAAGCCCUUCGGGGUGAGUGUACCUUUCGAAUAAGCACCGGCUAACUACGUGCCAGCAGCCGCGGUAAUACGUAGGGUGCAAGCGUUAUCCGGAAUUAUUGGGCGUAAAGGGCUCGUAGGCGGUUCGUCGCGUCCGGUGUGAAAGUCCAUCGCUUAACGGUGGAUCCGCGCCGGGUACGGGCGGGCUUGAGUGCGGUAGGGGAGACUGGAAUUCCCGGUGUAACGGUGGAAUG
rnacentral:rRNA from 1 species